GGUGGAAGUACUUGCAAGUUGUCCUUUCUCUAACAGACACCUGUUUCAGUAUGCCCAAAGGCUUCCAUGUCUUAUUAUGCUUUAGUACUACUGGUUGCAACUGGUAUCCUCAUUUUGUUAUUUGGGAAUAGGGGUUGCUUCCUCGCCUAGCUUGCUUUCCAUUGCUAAUUAUAUUCCUCUCUUUGUGUCCUAAAAAGAAAAGAAGGUG